UUAUUUUGAACUUUUUUGUGAACAUAUUAUUUUUUAAAAAAUUAUGUUACUAUACUAUCAAUAAUACCAAUUUUUUGGUACUAUCGAGUUUUCAGCUGUUGAAUGAAAGGAUGUACUGUUAGGAUAAUAGUGGUCCUUUAGGGUUGAGUAAGUGGCUGGCUGAAUAGUAUAAUCUAACGAGUGAAAAUGAUUAAAAAAAAUAGAUUUUACGAUAGAAAAAUUGAUAAUAGCAAGAACUUGAUAUUAUUAAUAGUAUAGUAGCCGGACUUAUUUUUUUAGAGAUAUUUUCUUAAAAAAAUACAUCUUAUACGUCGCAUUUUUACAACUUCGUUGUAAAAUUUUAAAUUCUAUAAAUUUUUAUAUAUAAACUUUUUAUAUAGUAUAGAUUGUAUCUAGCAAAGUAGAUUUUAUAAUUUUAUAAUAUUAAAUUUUAAAAAAUAAUUUAGUAUAUGUAAUGUACCAAUAGACUAAGUGCUGAUAAUAAUUUAUUAUAGUUGAGAAGAAAAGAUAAAGUGGUGACUGAAAAAUAUUUUGUACCAUUGGAGUGUAAAAUUAAAUUUUGUAGUCUACAUUUCUAAAAUAUUAUUAUAAAAAUUUAAACUAUGUAAUGUUUUAUCCAUAACUUUUUAUAUAAUUUAUAUAGUAUAUAUUAAAUAAUAAAUUUUAAUUUUAUAAUAUUGAUUAGUUAAAAAUAUGUUGUAUAAUAAGGUACCGUUUGGUUUGGGUAUAAAGAAGAACUAGCUAUUACAGAAAUAGAUACAAGUAUGGGGAUAAAAAAAAUAGUAUUUGGAUGAAAAUUAGGUUAUUCCUGAGGAUAAGAAAAAUAGCGUUUGGAUAGAUAAUAUAGAAUAAGAAAAAUAGUAGGUAGUUAUAUAUAGAAAAUGAAAGUGUUGUUGGGAAUAGUUAUACCAGCUUAUUUCAGGUACCCAAGAACUACUAUUUUCGGAUAAAAAAUUAGCAUUCAUGGGUAUAAAGGGGAUAAGGAGUUAUUCCACCCCUUAUUCCCAAUCCAAACGGGGC
rnacentral:lncRNA from 1 species